GACGAACGCUGGCGGCGUGCUUAAUACAUGCAAGUCGAACGGAAAGGCGCGGCUCUUGCUGGGUGCUCGAGAGGCGAACGGGUGAGUAUCACGCGAGUAAAAUGUACCUGACUUUGGGAUAACACCAGGAAACACGGGCGCAUACAGGAUAGAAGAUCCUGCUGCGCGGGGGGGGAUAGAAAGAGUCGGCCGUUGUGGCUGGACUCGCAGCUUAUCAGCCAGAUGGUGGGGUAGUGGCUUACAAAGGCUUUGAAGGAUAGCCGGCCUGGGAGGUGGACCGGCCACCUGAGUCCUGCGAUACGGCCCAGAAUCCUAUGGUCCGCAGCAGUGGGGAAUAUUGCAGAAUGGGCCGAAGCCAGAUGCAGCGACGCCGCGUGCGUGAUGACGUCCUACGAGUUGUAAACCGCUUUCGCCGUUGACGUGGCGUGCGUGACGGUAACUGGUAAGGAAGCCCCGGCUAACUACGUG
rnacentral:rRNA from 1 species